UGAACACCACCAAAAUCUUUCCCUCAUUCUCUCUUCCUUUUCCUCCUUAUCAGCAUCACCACCACCAGUACUUCCCGCUGCCUCUCAGGGUGCACGUUAUCCACGAGAGAGAGACAGAGCGAGGGGGGAGCAGAUAAGCAUGUUCUUGACGUGAGGACGAAGAGGAGGAGAUGUACUACCAAGUGAAAGGUUGUGCAAUCACUGCCCCCAAGACUCCUCGCGCGUCAUGAGCCCUGCACAACAACAACAAGUCCACAAAGAUCCCCUUCCACGAGGACAAGGACAACCAAAUGUGACGAUACUAUCAGUGAUCCUCGUGAGACAGUCGUGUCACCCAAGUUUUUGCUGUUCUUGUUGAUCCCAAACGUUAAACUUUGGUGCUGGUGGUGAAAGUGGGAAGAAAAGUCGGACACUGAGUGGCCAACGACUCGCUGACUGAUUCACUGACUGACUUGAUACGAAAGUGUGUGUACGUGAGGGUGCGUGGGGAGAAAGUGUACGAGUGGGGGUGAGAGAGUUGAUGGGUGGAACUAAGUGGUCGGGUGGCGGUGGGCGACGAGGAGGUCGGAGAUGAGAAUUUGGGGGUGGAGUGGAAGUGGGGGCGAGAUGUUGGGUGGGAGCAGGUGGGUGGGGUUCCUCCUGGCGUGGGAAGUUUUCACCUGCCUAAUCCUCCCGCAUCCGAGGGGGGCGGAGGGGAAGCCCAAGGAGCGAAGGCGCGAACUCCACCUCGGAGGCAUCUUUCCCAUCAACGGUACGGGGGGUUGGCAGGGGGGACAGGCGUGUCAACCCGCAGCUAAGAUGGCCCUGGACGAUGUCAACAACAACAAGGACCUCCUCCCGAACUACAAGCUAACCCUCCAUUGGAAUGACAGCGAGUGCGAGCCGGGUCUGGGGGCAGCAGUGAUGUACGACCUCCUCUACAACGACCCCAUCAAACUCAUGCUCCUCGCCGGAUGCUCCACCGUCUGCACUACCGUCGCAGAAGCUGCCAAAAAGUGGAAUUUAGUCGUGUUGUGCUACGGAGCGAGCAGUCCAGCCCUUUCGGAUCGGAACCGAUUCAAAACCUUGUUCAGAACCCACCCAUCCGCCACCGUGCACAAUCCGACGAGAAUCAAGCUCAUGAAAAAGUUUGGCUGGUCUCGAGUCGCCAUUCUGCAACAGGCAGAAGAAGUGUUCAUUUCUACAGUGGAAGACUUGGAGGAGAGGUGCAAGCAAGAGAAGAUAGAGAUUGUCACCCGUCAAUCUUUCCUUACGGAUCCCACGGAAGCGGUCCGCAAUCUAAAAAGACAGGACGCCCGCAUUGUAGUCGGACUCUUUUACGUAGUGGCUGCGAGGCGCGUUCUUUGUGAGAUUUAUAAGCAGAGGCUCUUCGGAAAGUCGUAUGUUUGGUUCUUCAUUGGAUGGUAUGAGGACAACUGGUACGAGAACGGGUUGGAGGCUGAGGGGAUCAACUGCACCAAAGAGGAGAUGCGCAUGGCAGCAGAAGGUCAUCUCACCACCGAAGCCGUCAUGUGGUAUCAGGACACCAAGAGGACGACUUCGGGCAUGACGACGGACGACUUCCGCAACCGACUGCACGCCGAGUUGAAGAAGAAAGGUUUUGACAUUGAUAACGGGCGCUACCCUGAAGGGUACCAAGAGGCUCCGCUGGCAUACGACGCAGUAUGGGCCGUAGCUCUAGCCUUCAACCGGACGAUCACACAACUUGCCAAGAAGGGAAAGAGACUCGAAGACUUCACCUACACCAACAGGGAGAUUGCGGAGGAAAUUUACAAUGCUAUGGACGAAACUGCCUUCCUGGGCGUCUCGGGUCGGACGGCAUUCAGCGAGCAGGGUGACCGCAUAGCUCUGACUCAGGUGGAACAAAUGAUUGAUGGCAAGUACAAUCUUCAGGGCUACUACGACAUCGAGAACUUUAACCUCACGUGGUAUGGGAAGGAGCAGUGGGUUGCUGGGAAGGUGCCGCAGGACAGGACGAUCGAAAAGACUGUACUCAGAACGGUGUCCCUCUCACUUUACAUUUCCAUGAGCACGGUGGCCGGGGUUGGAAUCGUCUGGGGACUUGUCCUCAUCCUCUUUACGUACACAUACAGAGACCGCAAGAUAAUUGAGCUGUCGCACCCUGUGACGAACACGCUCAUGCUUGUCGGUCACAUCCUCUGCUUCCUCACCGUCUUCUUGGUGGGGUUGGAUGGUCAGUUUGUGUCGGAGCGACUCUUUGGGGUGAUGUGCAGCAUCCGCAAGUGGAUUCUCUCAAUUGGAUUCACGCUCGGGUACGGAGCAAUGUUCUCAAAGGUUUGGAGGGUUCAUAGACUCACCACCAAAAACAAGUCUGCCACCAAGCACAAGAUACAGCCGUGGAAGUUGUACUUGUUGGUUGCGUCGCUGGUUGCCGUAGAGGUGAUAUACUUGUCUAUUUGGACCUUGGUGGACCCUCUUCGACGAGUGGAGGAGCUCUUCCCCCCCGAAGUUCCUAUCGACACUGAUGAAGACGUUCGCAUUCGACCCAUCCUCGAACACUGCGAGUCCCACUACAACAACAUUUGGUUGGGGAUCACAUACUCGUUUAAGGGGUUACUCCUCGUGCUCGGACUCUUCCUCUCGUACGAGACGCGUUCCCUGAAAGUUCGCCACAUUAACGACUCGCGCCUCGUAGCCAUGUCGAUCUACAACGUGGCCGUCCUCUGUCUCAUCACGACCCCCGUUACCAUGAUCAUCUCCUCCCAGCAGGAUGCUUCCUUCGCCUUUGUCGCACUAGCCAUAAUCUUCUCUUCCCUCAUCACCAUGGGGCUGGUGUUUGUUCCGAAGGUGAUCGCCGUGUGGCAGGAGGGGGCGGAGCGGUCUGACCGGUCCUCUGCCCCCGAGGGAGGCACGACCAAGGAGGACGAAGAGCGGUACGGGAAACUUCUGGGCGAGAACGAGACGCUGCAGCAGAUUCUGGGUCAGAAGGAGGAGCGGCUGAAACUCCUUCGUAACAAGUUGGAGGAAAAGAACGUGGCGCGGAGGAGGGUGGAGGUGGUGUCGGAGGGGGAGCGGCCACCGCCGGUCACCGUCCCUCCAACCACCACCCCCAGGAACAACAAUCUGGAGCAGAUUGAGGUGUGUGGUUCCGUGUAUCAAGAGCCGUCAGAGAGUGGGAUCGGUCAGGGUCUCUCCGUCACGACCAGAACUCCUACAACCACAGACUUUGAGCUUUCCGAGUCUUACCUCUGAGAGGGAAUAACGCUUCUUAUCAAAAAUACAUAGUGUCAACUUAGGCUAAGGUUUCGUCAUAGUGAGUCAGCCACCAGAAGAACCGCUCCUCCGAGGGUGGAUCUCAAUCAAUCCCUGCCCUCAGUGGGGGUGACCUAGCCGGCUGGCUCGUACAGCUUACUUGUCCUCCACUUACAUAAACAGACCUACUACCACUACCACCCAAGUCCAGAGUUAACUAAUGAUCUGAUACGAUGGUCUCAACCCCAGUGUGAUGAGGUGCUCGUCUCCCAAUAAUGAUAAUUAAUAAUAACGCGUCUUGUACAACUAACUAACUGUGUAACUGUAUCGUCAGUUCUCGUAGAGUGUAGCAUUUUACAUGAACGCCAACCAGCCAUUUUUAUGAUGCGAUGCGAUCAACAGUGAUUAGUCUAUCAAAAAAAGUAUAAAACCAUCAGCAAGCAAGCAGGGGGUAUUACUACUACUUUUAGCAACGUCUUAUUACAUAACGCUAACUAGUGGAUAAUAAUAUUGUAAAAUAUGUCAGUGGUUAAUGGAAGGGACGGAGGUAGAGAGAGAAACACGCUUUCACUUUGCAGCAACAGCCCGCACGCGCAUGCACCGUCCCCCACCUGCAGGGACACAUACCGACAAUCAAACCCCACCCACUCUACUCUUCCCCACAAGGAUAACCCACACGGAGAUAAGGAGAGAUAGAAAAAAGUGAGAAAAAGGCAGAGUGGGUAGAAAGACAACUCCCCAACCCAUGUACCCCACCCACCCACUUAUUAAUACUACAUAUUAGUUAUGAGUCGUCACCACCUUCUUUUUACUGAUUACUGUGACACAUCCUGAUACACAUUUAUAGAGAUAUAGCCACUCGGUCAGUAAUAAGAUGACGAAUUCCGUCUUCAACUACCAUGCAAUACAUCCAAAGUCACCUUAACUUGGGACACACGCGAUGAAAAUGAAUACUUCAUAUGUAAUAAUGAAGGUCCAUCAUCAUCAUGUGUGAAUUGAGUACUUUGGGAGGAUGGAGCUGGAUGCAAAAAAGAGCAUGGUCAGAGUUAAGUCAGUGACGAAGAGGAACAUUUGUCAAGAAAUGCAUGUCCAACAAAAGAAGGGUCAAAGUGUCGCCCGACAAGUCUACAACCUGCUCGACGAGAUUCUUACCCUCCCCUCCUCAGAGUCACGACCUCGUAAUAUCAGUCCACCCCACCCAACUCGUACUUCUUAUGCAAUUCAAACACUACUUUCUACUCGCUAUAAUCCUUAUGACGUAAAUAUGAAUGUCCUUCUGGUACUUGAUAGUGGAUGCAUUUUGGAGCUUUGUUCAUCAAUCCUAUAUAAAAAAGAAAUAUUACAUAGAUUGUUGCGGAGGGAGAAGAGUUUAUUGCGAAGAGAUUACAAUUGCGUGCAAGCAACACCACGGCUUUCUUAGUUUUCGUGUCUUCGAUACUACUUUGUAUGUAACCAUGAUUCAAGUGAGUUUACUGUUAUUAUUAAUUAAUUAAUUAAUUAGUAACACAUACACAUAAUGGGAGGAAGUGAAGGAAGAAGACCUUCUCUCUCCUGGUGAGCGUGUAUGUGGGCAUAAAAUGCGUGUGAAAGAGGAGGAAAUCUCGCCACGACUGUGGAAAUAACAUUACAAAACAAAGAUCGGUUUGGCUUUCACCUCGUUCGGACACGAUACGUGCACAGGCAGGCACACUGCACAAUGAUGACGAACCUCUCAAUAAUAAGUGAACAAUGUCUUCUUCUUCUUCUCUUUUUGGUUGCUCAACAAAUUAAAAUGAUGACGACGAUGUGGUAAUGAGACAAACAAACAAAACUUAAACAAUCGAUGUUGAAGAGAGUGGGAAUAUUUCAGUCAACAUAUUUCAAUCUUGUAUUUCUAGUUUUAUUAAUAAAAAGUUAAACAAUA